GAUGAAGAACGUAGCGAAAUGCGAUACGUAAUGUGAAUUGCAGAAUUCAGUGAAUCAUCGAGUCUUUGAACGCACAUUGCGCCCCCUGGUAUUCCGGGGGGCAUGCCUGUCCGAGCGUCAUUGCUGCCCUCAAGCCCGGCUUGUGUGUUGGGUCUCGUCCCCCUUCCCGGGGGGACGGGCCCGAAAGGCAGCGGCGGCACCGUGUCCGGUCCUCGAGCGUAUGGGGCUUUGUCACCCGCUCUGUGGGCCCGGCCGGCGCUUGCCGAUCAACCAAAACUUUUUUCCAGGUUGACCUCGGAUCAGGUAGGGAUACCCGCUGAACUUAAGCAUAUCAAUAAGCGGAGGA
rnacentral:misc_RNA from 1 species